rnacentral:rRNA from 1 species
AUAUCAAUAAGCGGAGGAAAAGAAACUAACAAGGAUUCCCUUAGUAACGGCGAGUGAAACGGGAAUAGCCCAACUUGAAAAUCUCCCUUUGGAGAAUUGUAUCUAUAGAAGCGUCCUCUGUGGCGGCCUGAGCCCAAGUCCACUGGAAAGUGGCGUCAGGAGAGGGG